CUUUGGGAAGCUCAGGCCUGCCAGGGGAAAGGCCCUGGACCGGUGCCUGACUCUUUUGUGUGUGGGGAAGGGAAUCCAGAGCUGUGGCCGGAAGCAGGCGGAGUGGGGACCCAGAGAUUCACAGUAGGGGAGGAGUAAAGAGCAGCCCAUCCUAUUUCCAUAGGAGGGGAGCAGGGAGUCAAGCCAUACUCCAGCCCCCAUUGUGUGCCCUAUGGGUCAGUCUGAUCCUCUCCACACCUCCUCCCUGCACCACCACACCUGGGGACAGUGCAGGUGGAAGGGCAGGAGGAGAUGCACCCCUGGCUGCUCCCCCUGACCUGGAGGAAGGAGAAAGAGGGACUCCACACCUUGCCCCCACACCUGCAAGAGGGGGAGUGAAGAGCCCCAGACCCACAGGAACACAGGUUGGCAGAGCUUUAAACUAGCUUUAUUGGGGGACAAGGAUGUUGAAGAUAGGGUGAAACCAGGAAGGACAAGCCAUGAACUGAAUGCUGGAAUAGACCAGGAAGCAACGGUGAGCACCUGAAACCUGAGAUCCUGCGCCUGCCUUUGUUUCAAGACCAACACGGCGACCAAGUACAUCCCUGAAACAUGGAAGAUGCCACAUUUUAACUGAUUUUGGAUUUUAAACUUCAUUGCAGAACAACCCGAAAGAUUUCUAACCUCCCUGCUUGCCAUCGGACACCUCCAGGGAAGGAAUCCUACCCGAUCUACACAACAAUGAACAACUCAGAACAACUCACACAAAGACACUCUCAUGGACCCCAAGGGACAGAUUUCCAUCUCCAGCUUCUGUGCAAAAAUGAAGUUUUCCUACCUAUGGGGACUUUUUACCAUCUUUAAUUUUCCCAGAGCCUGAUGAAGGAUGUUUGAGCCCAAAAGCUUGCAGAAAAAGAUUAUUUUGGGGGGCAGUUUCCUAAUUGGUCUAAUAAAAGUUAUCAUUUCUGAACCAA